rnacentral:rRNA from 1 species
UUUCCGGUUGAUCCCGCCGGACCUGACUGCUAUCGGAUUGAUACUAAGCCAUGCGAGUCUUUGUAGUAAUACAAGGCAUACGGCUCAGUAACACGUAGUCAACCUACCCUAUGGACGAGAAUAAUCUCGGGAAACUGAGCAUAAUUCUCGAUAGAUCAUAAUGCCUGGAAUGGUUUAUGGUUAAAAUGAUUCGUCGCCAUAGGAUGGGACUGCGGCCUAUCAGCUUGUUGGUGAGGUAAUGGCCCACCAAGGCGAUUACAGGUACGGGCUCUGAGAGGAGAAGCCCGGAGAUGGGUACUGAGACACGGACCCAGGCCCUAUGGGGCGCAGCAGGCGAGAAAACUUUGCAAUGUGCGAAAGCACGACAAGGUUAAUCCGAGUGAUUUCUGCUAAAGAAAUCUUUUGCCAGUCAUAAAACCACUGGUGAAUAAGGGGUGGGCAAGUUCUGGUGUCAGCCGCCGCGGUAAAACCAGCACCUCAAGUGGUCAGGAUGAUUAUUGGGCCUAAAGCAUCCGUAGCCGGCCUUGUAAGUUUUCGGUUAAAUCCAUGUGCUCAACGCAUGGGCUGCCGAAAAUACUGCAUGGCUAGGGAGUGGGAGAGGUAGACGGUACUCAGUAGGAAGGGGUAAAAUCCUUUGAUCUAUUGAUGACCACCUGUGGCGAAGGCGGUCUACCAGAACACGUUCGACGGUGAGGGAUGAAGGCUGGGGAGCAAACCGGAUUAGAUACCCGGGUAGUCCCAGCUGUAAACGAUGCAGACUCGAUGAUGCAUUGGCAUAAUAGCCAGUGCAGUGUCGCAGGGAAGCCGUUAAGUCUGCCGCCUGGGAAGUACGUACGCAAGUAUGAAACUUAAAGGAAUUGGCGGGGGAGCACCACAAGGGGUGAAGCCUGCGGUUCAAUUGGAGUCAACGCCGGG